CUUUGUUUUUUCUUUUCGUCUCUUUGGCGCCUGCGUCGGCAGAACUUUGUUGCUUUUUUCGCUUUGCGUGGGCGCAAGAGAGUAAGCAACAAUUAGCGCUGUGAUUUAUUGAAAAAUCUAUAAAUUAUCUAUUAUUAUCAGUAUGGAAAAUACACCCACGCAAAAAAUGAAGCGCUUUAUCUUGGAUGCAGAGCAACCUAUGCCAAAGGAACAGCCAAUAUCGCGUAAUAAGAAAUUGGCUAACUAAAAUCAAAAAUUGACGUUCUAACGGAAGCUGUGGCGGAGGCGGUGACCCUUAUUAUAUUGCAAGAUAAAAAAAAUUACGGAACCUAGUGGGGACGAGACCAUCUAUGUCCAACUGCCUAAGAAAUGUGCUGCACGAGAGGCUGAUGUUGGCGUAUUAUUUGGAUGAAGCCUCGGAAGAAGUUUCAAGAAAUCGGCGAUUGAAAAACAGAUUGAAACGCGUAUUUCAUCACUCAUCUAUACAUAUGUAUAUGAUGAUUUUUCCGAACUGCUAGAUGACAAUGUCAUCGACCAAUGCCUUAAGACAUCGCCAUGAUAAUGGAGCGUAUGGUGUGUCAUCGCUUAUGUCAUCGGGGGUAGUGACGCUGUCAUCGACGUGUCAGCAGAUGAGUCAUCGAAGGCCCGUACUGCAGGCGAAGAGUUUAGGGAUAUACUAGUUUUGUGGUGAACGUGGGUAGCGAUCGUUUCCAACCCCAUAUUCCUGAUCAGCAUCAACAACCG
rnacentral:sRNA from 1 species